CGUCGCCGUCGUCCUGCUUUCCCUCCGUUUCCUCAGCAGCGCUGGCCUCUCGCCUUGGGCGCCGUUUCCGCGACCGAGCCGUCGUGGCGGGUGGGCCGAGUGUCAGGAACCGAAGGAGCAAACGGGCCAGCGCCAGGAUGCCGCUGGGCCUCAAGCCGACGUGCAGCGUCUGCCGCACCACUUCCUCGUCCAUGUGGAAGAAAGGCGGGCAGGGCGAGAUCCUUUGCAACAACUGCACGGGCCGUUCAGGGCCGGCCGCCGCUGGGGCAGCUUCAUACGCCGGCACCUCCGCGGCCUCGCAGCACAGCAACGGCGGCGGCGGGGGAGGUGGCGGCGGCGGCGGCGGCGGCGGGAGUAGCGGCGGCGGGAAGCAGAGUAAGCAAGAAAUUCACAGAAGAUCUGCUCGAUUGAGGAACACAAAAUAUAAAUCGGCUCCUGCUGCUGAGAAAAAGGUUUCCACUAAAGGAAAAGGGAGAAGGCAUAUUUUCAAAUUAAAAAAUCCCAUCAAAGCUCCAGAAUCUGUAGCCACAAUCAUUACAGCAGAAUCUAUCUUCUAUAAGGGAAUAUACUAUCAAAUUGGAGAUAUUGUUUCAGUGAUUGAUGAGCAAGAUGGUAAAACAUACUAUGCUCAGAUUAGAGGUUUUAUUCAAGACCAAUACUGUGAAAAAAGUGCAGCUUUAACAUGGCUCAUUCCUACUACAGCAAGCCCAAAAGACUAUUUUGAUCCUGCAACUUACAUAAUAGGACCAGAAGAAGAUCUUCCAAGAAAAAUUGAGUACUUAGAAUUUAUCUGCCAUGCACCUUCAGAAUAUUUCAAAUCUCGAUCAACUCCUUUUCCUACGAUUCCCACUAGGCCAGAAAAAGGUUAUAUCUGGACUCACGUUGGACCUACUCCAGCAAUUUCAAUCAAGGAAACUGUUAGUACCAGCUUGUAGUAUCUCUUCAAAAAAGGCUUUUAUUUAUAUUUUAAAUUACCAUCUGACUUCUAUUUAUUGUUUAAAUCUCUGCCUUGGUCAAUUUUUCAUUUUUGAAGGUUUUUUUUUCUCAGAAAAAAAUACAAUUUCAUCUAGAUAAAUGAAUAUUUUAAAGUAUUUAUGCUGUGUUAGAACUGUGCCCUUAUACUAUGUACAGUAGUUUGUAUUUAAUUUGAUCAUGGAGCAGAGGGAUAGAGGCAAGUAUUCAUUAAAAACUGAGCUGAAAUGAUAGGAAAAUGGAGGAAAACCUUGAUACAGAUAUAUCUAUUUAAAAUGUUCAAUUGAAAAACAUUAUGGAAAAAUAGGAAUAUAUUUCCAUUGUUGCAUAUGUUCUGUGCUAUCCUUAUCUGAAAAAAAGUUAUGAAGUCUCCCUACAUAAAAUCCUUGGUGAUUUUAAGAAAAAUGUAAGGAUUAGUUCUAAAACAAUCUUGGUAGAAAAUCAUCUGUUUCAACAUGAUUCUGUUAAAAUGGGCACUUUAUUUGGAUGAUGGCUUUUGCCAGAACUUUAAUGUGAAUUCUUGAACCAAUUUGUAAUUCUUGUGAUAUAUUAAUGCAGGGGUCCUCAACCCCCAGGCUGCACCCCAUUCAGAACCAGGUUGCGGAAGUGGUGGGCGAGGACCCUGUAUUUGUGAAAUUGGAGUGUGCGCACAUAGGAAACCAUCCCCCUGCCCCCUAGUCUGCCAAGCCGGAAAGGUUGGGGAUGCUAUAUUAAAGGAUAUCUUCUUAAUUCAUUCCAAGGGUAAUCUUGGGGAAAUGUAACUUUCUACUUCUUUACCUUAAAUCUUUGCAGCUAAUAGAAAUGAAUAGGUGGAAGGAGGAGUGGUAAAAUAGUUGUUAAAAUAAGUAUAAGUGCCAGGUAUCUUUUAAGAGAUAGCUGAAUAGCUAUCCCUUGUGUCCUUUUAAGUUCUAUCAAGUUAGUUAUUUUUGCCUUAGACAUUGUUCAGAAAUGGAGAUGGUUUGUUAGAUUAAACUUGGAUAAUACAAAACCUGGUGCAAUUAUUCUAAAUCAUAUAAUUUUAUCUCAGUAUGUUGUAUGUACUCAUUUAAUUGUAAAUUGUUCAGAAACCAUGUUUAAAUUAUGGCUUAAUGUAAAGCCCAAUCCCAGCCUGAUUAUUUUCAUGUUUAUUUGUUACCAGGUUUAAUUUUAAUAUCAAAAAGGUUUUUAUACUGCUGCUACUACUCAUGAACGAUUUUGAAGAAAUCCAGAUCUAUUUUUUUGUAUCAUCGCAUAAAACAAUAAAUGGAUUGUAUUCAUAUCUAGGCUCUAAUACGUGAAGGAUGAAUACACCAGAGAAUUAGUAAAAACAGACCUUCUGGUAAAAAGUACUUCUGAUGUUCUGGAAGUGCUGUAUGAAUCAGUUCUAUCAUUUAUAAAUUAUAUUAGAUUAUAGAUAUCACAGACUUGUUUUGUAUUAACUUCAAUUCAUUAAGACUUGUUUAGAUACAGAUAGUCAUUUAGCUUUAUUGUCUUGGACGGUGUUCAGUUACCAGUAAUUGUAAACUGCCCACAUUUACAAUAUUCAAAGCAUCUCUCCAGUCAUAUGUUCGUCAUUGUCAGCUAAUAAGCAUUAUCCUGUGCCUGACUUGUUUUUUUCAUCCCUCUUCAAAGUGGAGUAGCUAAACAAGUGAUCUUUUCCAGAGUUACUUUCCUCUGCAGCAGUGUGUCUCUAAAAAGGGCUAACCACACACUAACAAGCUCAGCUUUCUGACUUUAGUUAAUUAGAACUCUCUAGUUUGGUGCUGCUGACAUUGACAAAACUAAUCAGUUUCACACUAAAGGUUUUGUUUGCCUCCUAAGCAGCUUGCUAGGCCAAUAGCUGGUGCUAACACAUUUCUUUCUAUGUGUACUUCCCAUUGUGUGCCUGAUUAUUCUUUUGUAAUCGCUUCCUCUCCAGUGAAUGUCUGAAUACAUCAAUUAUCCUAAUCCCAGGAAGAACAUUCCAAAAGUUUCCAAUUGACUUUGCUUGUGAAAAGCUGGCAAAGUACAUCAAGAAAUUGCAAUCGCAUGACCAUGACUCAAUGUGAUGUAAUCAUGAUUCCAGUACAAAUAUCCAGAUGCUAUGAUGGCUGAAGCUGUGGUGCAAAACAAAUAGAACUUUUCCAGAAGAACAGCGUCACAUACAAGGACACUUAUAGAACUGAACGAUAACCAGAAAAAUUGAACUUUCUUAGAAAGCAAAAUGUAGUACACAUCAAGAAAACUAACUUUCAGUGUUUUAAACAUUUGGUUUUAACAUUGUACAAAUAAAGGGAUCAAUACAAAGUCCACAAUAUAUUAUUAACAAUUGUAUUCAUA